rnacentral:tRNA from 1 species
GCGGCAGUAGCUCAGUGGUAGAGCCCCUUUUCGCAUGCGAGGGGACCGGGGUUCCAUUCCCGGCUGCUUCC